GCGGAGGAAAAGAAACUAACAAGGAUUCCCCUAGUAACGGCGAGUGAACCGGGAUGAGCUCAAAUUUGAAAUCUGGCGUCCUCAGGGCGUCCGAGUUGUAAUCUAUAGAGGCGUUUUCCGUGCCGGACCGUGUCCAAGUCCCUUGGAACAGGGUAUCAAAGAGGGUGACAAUCCCGUACUUGACACGACGACCGGUGCUCUGUGAUACGUCUUCUACGAGUCGAGUUGUUUGGGAAUGCAGCUCAAAAUGGGUGGUGAGUUCCAUCUAAAGCUAAAUAUUGGCGAGAGACCGAUAGCGAACAAGUACCGUGAGGGAAAGAUGAAAAGCACUUUGGAAAGAGAGUUAAACAGUACGUGAAAUUGUUGAAAGGGAAACGAUUGAAGUCAGUCGUGACUGUUGGGCUCAGCAGGUUCUGCCUGUGUAUUCCCCUCAGUCGGGUCAACAUCAGUUUUGACCGGUGGAUAAGGGCAGCAGGAAUGUGGCACCUCCGGGUGUGUUAUAGCCUGUCGUCGCAUACAUCGGUCGAGACUGAGGAACGCAGCUCGCCCUUGAGGCCGGGGUUCGCCCACGUCCGAGCUUAGGAUGUUGACAUAAUGGCUUUAAACGACCCGUCUUG
rnacentral:rRNA from 1 species